GGCCGACUGGCCUAAUGGUUAAGGCGUCAGUUUCCGGUGGACGUGUUCAAUAGCUGAAGAUUUUGGGUUCGAAUCCCAGGUUGGUCG